AGUGAACGCUGGCGGCGUGCUUAACACAUGCAAGUCGAACGGUAACAGGAACUAGCUUGCUAGUUUGCUGACGAGUGGCGCACGGGUGAGUAAUAUAUAGUUAAUGUACCCCAAAGACUGGGAUAGCCACUGGAAACGGUGAUUAAUACUAGAUACACCUCUUUAACAUAAGUUAGAGAGGGAAAUGUCUUUUCGCUUUGGGAUCAGACUAUAUCCUAUCAGUUAGUUGGUGAGGUAAUGGCUCACCAAGGCAAUGACGGGUAGCGGGUUUGAGAGGAUGAUCCGCUACACUGGUACUGAGACACGGACCAGACUCCUACGGGAGGCAGCAGUGAGGAAUAUUGCACAAUGGAGGAAACUCUGAUGCAGCAACGCCGCGUGGAGGAUGACGCAUUUCGGUGUGUAAACUCCUUUUAUGAGUCAAGAAAAUGACGGUAGCUCAUGAAUAAGCACCGGCUAACUCCGUGCCAGCAGCCGUACGG
rnacentral:rRNA from 1 species